UACGGAGGGUGCAAGCGUUAUCCGGAUUCACUGGGUUUAAAGGGUGCGUAGGCGGGUAAGUAAGUCCGGGGUGAAAUCUCUGAGCUUAACUCAGAAACUGCCGUGGAUACUAUUUGCCUUGAAUAUUGUGGAGGUGAGCGGAAUAUGUCAUGUAGCGGUGAAAUGCUUAGAUAUGACAUAGAACACCAAUUGCGAAGGCAGCUCACUACACAAUCAUUGACGCUGAGGCACGAAAGCGUGGGAUCAAACAGG
rnacentral:rRNA from 1 species